rnacentral:tRNA from 1 species
GCGCCGUUAGCUCAGUUGGUAGAGCAGCUGACUCUUAAUCAGCGGGUCCGGGGUUCGAAACCCUGACGGCGCACCG